rnacentral:rRNA from 1 species
GGGAGGGGCUCGCGGCCUAUCAGCUUGUUGGUGGGGUAACGGCCUACCAAGGCAUCGACGGGUAGCUGGUCUGAGAGGAUGAUCAGCCACACUGGGACUGAGACACGGCCCAGACUCCUACGGGAGGCAGCAGUGGGGAAUCUUGCGCAAUGGGCGAAAGCCUGACGCAGCAACGCCGCGUGAGGGAUGAAGGCUUUCGGGUUGUAAACCUCUUUCAGCAGGAACGAAAAUGACGGUACCUGCAGAAGAAGCUCCGGCCAACUACGUGCCAGCAGCCGCGGUAAUACGUAGGGAGCAAGCGUUGUCCGGAUUUAUUGGGCGUAAAGAGCUCGUAGGCGGUUAAGAAAGUCAGGUGUGAAACCUCCAGGCUCAACCUGGAGCCGCCACUUGAUACUUCUUUGACUUGAGUUCGGUAGGGGACCACGGAAUUCCUGGUGUAGCGGUGGAAUGCGCAGAUAUCAGGAGGAACACCGAUGGCGAAGGCAGUGGUCUGGGCCGAUACUGACGCUGAGGAGCGAAAGCGUGGGGAGCGAACAGGAUUAGAUACCCUGGUAGUCCACGCCGUAAACGUUGGGCACUAGGUGUGGGAGGUAAUCAACGCCUUCCGUGCCGUAGCUAAACGCAUUAAGUGCCCCCGCCUGGGGGAGUACGGUCGC